rnacentral:rRNA from 1 species
AUUGAACGCUGGCGGCAUGCUUUACACAUGCAAGUCGAGCGGUAACAGGCCUUCGGGUGCUGACGAGUGGCGAACGGGUGAGUAAUGCAUCGGAACGUACCCAGAGGUGGGGGAUAACGCAGCGAAAGCUGUGCUAAUACCGCAUGUGAUCUGAGGAUGAAAGCGGGGGACCGAGCAGCAAUGUUUGGCCUCGCGCCUUUGGAGCGGCCGAUGUCGGAUUAGCUAGUUGGUGGGGUAAAGGCCUACCAAGGCGACGACCCGUAGCUGGUCUGAGAGGACGACCAGCCACACUGGGACUGAGACACGGCCCAGACUCCUACGGGAGGCAGCAGUGGGGAAUUUUGGACAAUGGGCGCAAGCCUGAUCCAGCAAUGCCGCGUGCGGGAAGAAGGCCUUCGGGUUGUAAACCGCUUUUGGCAGGAACGAAACGGUGUCCGCUAAUACCGGGCGCUAAUGACGGUACCUGCAGAAUAAGCACCGGCUAACUACGUG